UCGAGCGGUAAGGCCCUUUCGGGGGUACACGAGCGGCGAACGGGUGAGUAACACGUGGGCGACCUGCCCUCAGCUCUGGGAUAAGCCUGGGAAACUGGGUCUAAUACCGGAUAGGACCACAUGUCGCAUGGUGUGUGGUGGAAAGUUUUUUCGGCUGAGGAUGGGCCCGCGGCCUAUCAGCUUGUUGGUGGGGUGAUGGCCUACCAAGGCAACGACGGGUAGCCGGCCUGAGAGGGCGACCGGCCACACUGGGACUGAGACACGGCCCAGACUCCUACGGGAGGCAGCAGUGGGGAAUAUUGCGCACUGGGCGAAAGCCUGACGCAGCGACGCCGCGUGGGGGAUGACGGCCUUCGGGUUGUAAACCUCUUUCGACCUUGACGAAGGCCUUCGGGUUGACGGUAGGGGUAGAAGAAGCACCGGCCAACUACGUGCCAGCAGCCGCGGUAAUACGUAGGGUGCGAGCGUUGUCCGGAAUUAUUGGGCGUAAAGAGCUCGUAGGCGGUGUGUCACGUCGAUCGUGAAAACUUGGGGCUUAACCCUGAGCUUGCGGUCGAUACGGGCAUCACUGGAGUUCGGCAGGGGAGACUGGAAUUCCUGGUGUAGCGGUGAAAUGCGCAGAUAUCAGGAGGAACACCG
rnacentral:rRNA from 1 species